rnacentral:rRNA from 1 species
AUUGAACGCUGGCGGCAGGCCUAACACAUGCAAGUCGAGCGGAGCGGCGGACGGGUGAGUAAUGCCUAGGAAUCUGCCUGGUAGUGGGGGAUAACGUCCGGAAACGGGCGCUAAUACUGCAUACUAUCAGAUGAGCCUAGGUCGGAGUAGCUUGUUGGUGGGGUAAAGGCCUACCAAGGCGACGAUACGUAACUGGUCUGAGAGGAUGAUCAGUCACACUGAAUCUGGGACACGGUCCAGAAUCCUAGGGGAGGCAGCAUGGAGGAUGAUUGGACAAUGGGCAAAAGCCUGAUCCAGCCAUGCCGGGUGUGUGAGGAAGUUCUACGGAUUGUAAAGCACUUUAAGUUGGGAGGCGUUACCAACAGAAUAAGCACCGGCUAACUUCGUGCCAGCAGCCGCGGUAAUU